GACGAACGCUGGCGGCGUGCUUAACACAUGCAAGUCGAACGGAAAGGCCCUGCUUUUGUGGGGUGCUCGAGUGGCGAACGGGUGAGUAACACGUGAGUAACCUGCCCUUGACUUUGGGAUAACUUCAGGAAACUGGGGCUAAUACCGGAUAGGAGCUCCUGCUGCAUGGUGGGGGUUGGAAAGUUUCGGCGGUUGGGGAUGGACUCGCGGCUUAUCAGCUUGUUGGUGGGGUAGUGGCUUACCAAGGCUUUGACGGGUAGCCAGCCUGAGAGGGUGACCGGCCAAAUUGGGACUGAGAUACGGCCCAGACUCCUACGGGAGGCAGCAGUGGGGAAUAUUGCACAAUGGGCGGAAGCCUGAUGCAGCAACGCCGCGUGCGGGAUGACGGCCUUCGGGUUGUAAACCGCCUUCGCCUGUGACGAAGCGUGAGUGACGGUAAUGGGUAAAGAAGCACCGGCUAACUACGUG
rnacentral:rRNA from 1 species